rnacentral:rRNA from 1 species
AGCGAACGCUGGCGGCAGGCCUAACACAUGCAAGUCGAACGAACUCUUCGGAGUUAGUGGCGGACGGGUGAGUAACACGUGGGAACGUGCCUUUAGGUUCGGAAUAACUCAGGGAAACUUGUGCUAAUACCGAAUGUGCCCUUCGGGGGAAAGAUUUAUCGCCUUUAGAGCGGCCCGCGUCUGAUUAGCUAGUUGGUGAGGUAAAGGCUCACCAAGGCGACGAUCAGUAGCUGGUCUGAGAGGAUGAUCAGCCACAUUGGGACUGAGACACGGCCCAAACUCCUACGGGAGGCAGCAGUGGGGAAUCUUGCGCAAUGGGCGAAAGCCUGACGCAGCCAUGCCGCGUGAAUGAUGAAGGUCUUAGGAUUGUAAAAUUCUUUCACCGGGGACGAUAAUGAUGGUACCCGGAGAAGAAGCCCCGGCUAACUUCGUG